GAAUAUGUUCGCUGCUCCUCAGCAGUAGCUGAGCUACCGAUGCUGGUAGGCUAGCGCUACCAAUGUACUAUCAACAUUUGCAUAGACACCAGUGAGCUCUCAAAGCAAGCAAUAUAUAGCACUACACACUCAUCAUCGAAGUAUAGAACUGAACACAAAAGGGGAGAGUGACCAGAAAGAGAGGAGCAAUGGCGGCUCAGGCACAGACCAUAGAGGUUCCCACGGACGCUGAGCUGCUGCAGGCACAAGCUGACCUGUGGCGCCACAGCCUCUACUACCUCUCCUCCAUGGGUCUACGCUGCGCCGUCGAGCUCGAGAUUCCGACUGCCAUCCACCGGCUCGGCGGGGCCGCCUCGCUGCCCGACCUGAUGUCCGCGCUGUCCCUUCCCUCGGUUAAGAUGCCAUUUCUCCGCCGGGUCAUGCGCGUGCUCGUCACGUCGGGUGUCUUCGCCGCCGACAACGACUCUGGGUCUGAGGCGAUCUACCGCCUCACACCGUUGUCCCGCAUCCUGGUGCACGGUGUAGUAGCGGAUGAGCACCACAGCCAGAAGUAUUUUGUGAUUGGCGUGACCUCGCCGCAUUAUACGGAGGCGGCGAUGGGGCUGGCCGGCUGGUUCAAGAAGGACCAUGAGCCACCGGUGCCGUCACCCUUUGAGGACAUCUUCGGGGUGCCGCUCUGUGAUGACAGAACGCCGCUCCUAGACAAGGAGCUGGACGAUGUUGUCACACAAGGCUUGGCUGCCCACGACAACCUGGGGAUUGCCACGGUGAUGCGGGAGUGCCAUGACCUUUUCAAGGGGCUAGACUCAUUGACUGACUGCGGCGGUGGUGAUGGUACGACGGCGAGAGCCAUCAUCAAGGCUUACCCCCACAUCAAGUGCACUGUGCUAGACCUUCCGAAGGUGGUCGACAAAGCCCCAGCAGAUGGUCUCGUUACCUAUGUCGCAGGUGACUUGUUCCAUUCCGUCCCAUCAUCACAAGCUGUGAUGCUCAAGCUUGUGCUACACUUCUGGAGCGAUGAGGAUUGCGUGAAAAUCCUAGCUCAGUGCAAGAAGGCCAUUCCUUCGCGUGAGGAGGGAGGGAAGAUAAUAAUCAUUGAAAUUGUGGUUGGACCUUCCUUAGGGCCAAUAAUGUUUGAAGCCCAACUCCUUAUGGAUAUGCUUAUGAUGGUGAACUCAAAAGGGCGUCAACGGGAUGAAAAUGACUGGAGCAAACUGUUCACUAAAGCGGGGUUCACGGACUACAAAAUUGUGAAGAAACUAGGAGCUCGGUGUGUCAUUGAGGUCUAUCCAUAAGAUAUUGUGCUAUAUGCACAUUAAUAAAGGGAGUACCUAUUACUAUAAAUCUUUUGCCGAGUACUGGACUCGAUAAAGGUACCUUUUGCCGAGUGCAGCUCUCGGCAGCUGCGGCGCUUGGAUGCCCACUGUCAACGUCCAAGAUAUAGUUUGCCAAACUUGUAAGUUGUGCACAGAUGGUUUGCCGAGUAUCAUGUUGCGGUGCGCCCAUGAGUGGGAGCUCGGCACACAGCUUGGAACUGGGCAAAGAUGAAUUUAUUUAUUUUUAGCUAAUUGGACUCCCUCUUCUUUUUAAUUGAAAAGACAUGCAACGCUCCUGCAUGUUCUUGAAUAAAAAAAUAAAAAAAAUUAGUAGUGUCUUCUGAUUCA